GAUCAGAUAACAAAACGGGACUCUCGUCGAGACUCCGCCCAUUGCCGCGGGUCUCUUGGAGCACGAGCUUAGCCACUGCCGCCACGAGAGUCCUCCUCCCCGGGAUGGAGACUCCGCUUGCCUCGCCGCCACGGUGGCGAAGGAAGAUGACAGGGUGGAAGAGAAGUACAGAUGCGUGUGACGGGGUGGAAUAAGAUUCACCUAACACCAGCAAGGGAUGGAAGAGCAUCCAGAUGCCUUGGAAACAACACCAACAAUGACAGGGUGGAAGAGGAUCCAGCUAACACCACCAAGCCAUUCAGAAGGAAGGCAGCCACAGGAAUGGAAACACUAACGAACUGUGACUGAUGCUGGGACUCAAUAAUUACCUUGGGCAAUUGUUGAUUGUUGUAAUUACUUCAAUUCUAUUUUUGACUGUUAUUAAUAACUGUUUGGAGGGGUAAGUCAACAUAUGUUAUAUGGUGAUCCACAGUGGACAUUAAGGCUCACUGGCAGAAGUGUCCUCUUUUUACUUUGGAGGCAAGAGGUAACUGUCAUACAACUCCAGAGUUCUGUCAGACCAUGACUGUAGUCACAGGGUGGGAUUGUGGCAGAUGGCAACCCCCCUCCCUCUUUUAAUAUGGCACAUUUUCCCCUUUCUCUGCUAUUUGAGGCUAACAGCUUCUUUUGUUUGGCCCAGAGCACCCUGGCUCCUGGGACAUUAGCAGAAGGGAGUGCCAAGGCACACUGGGCCGCGCCCAGUGUGGGGGAUGUUUGAGGGCUUCAGGGGCACCCACACUCAGUGUGGGGGGUGCAGAGAAGCUUAUACAAUGCCUACAGUCAGGUCUGAUCAGAUAACAAAACGGGACUCUCGUCGAGACUCCGCCCAUUGCCGCGGGUCUCUUGGAGCACGAGCUUAGCCACUGCCGCCACGAGAGUCCCCCUCCCCGGGAUGGAGACUCCGCUUGCCUCGCCGCCACGGUGUAAGUAAAACUUCUCGCAGGAUUGCGAGUAUAUUUUCUUUCCGUGCACACUUGCACAAGUACUUUAUUUCCUCGCACAAUCGCGAGUGGCCGCCGAGAGCCCCUCGCACAAUCGCGAGUAUAUUUUCCUCCCGUGCUUCCACAUAAGCACGUGUAGGAUUCCGUGCACAUUUGCACGUGUAAAAUAACUCUCGCAGGACUGCGAGCGUAUUAUAAAUUUACUCUCGCGACAUCGCGAGUGCACACUUUCCGUACUCACUGCGAGUACGUGUAUCUCUAUAAAAAUAAUCCCACACCGUGCUUGGGUAAGUGUGUACUCCUCCGGGACUCGGGGAUGGCUCCGGCACUGUUUUGGUGAAGCCACGUGCAUGCACUCUGUGGACCUCCUGUUGUAUUAGUGGCUGCCCCUCUCAAUAAUUUCCUCCACUGAUAUCCGAACCUGUAUUUAAGUCACAUUCGGAGUGCUAAAACCCUGUGCCUCGCUGGUCUAAUAAAAGUUGGUUUUGGACCUUGUGGUCCCUAAAAUUGA